rnacentral:rRNA from 1 species
GUUUGAUCCUGGCUCAGGACGAACGCUGGCGGCGUGCUUAACACAUGCAAGUCGAACGAUGAAGGGCUUCGGCCUGGAUUAGUGGCGAACGGGUGAGUAACACGUGGGUAACCUGCCCUCCACUCUGGGAUAACUCCGGGAAACCGGGGCUAAUACCGGAUACGACYWYCGGGCGCAUGCCUGGUGGUGGAAAGUUUUUCGGUGGGGGAUGGGCCCGCGGCCUAUCAGCUUGUUGGUGGGGUGAUGGCCUACCAAGGCGUUGACGGGUAGCCGGCCUGAGAGGGCGACCGGCCACACUGGGACUGAGACASGGCCCCAGACUCCUGCGGGAGGCAGCAGUGGGGGAAUAUUGCGCAAUGGGCGGAAGCCUGACGCAGCGACGCCGCGUGGGGGAUGACGGCCUUCGGGUUGUAAACCCCUUUCAGCAGGGACCAAGGCUCUUUUGGGGUUGAGUGUACCUGCAGAAGAAGCACCGGCUAACUACGUGCCAGCAGCCGCGGUAAUACGUAGGGUGCUAGCGUUGUCCGGAUUUAUUGGGCGUAAAGGGCUCGUAGGCGGCCUGUCGCGUCGGAAGUGAAAGCCCGGUGCUUAACGCCGGGUUGGCUUUCGGUACGGGCAGGCUGGAGUGUGGCAGGGGAGACUGGAAUUCCUGGUGUAGCGGUGGAAUGCGCAGAUAUCAGGAGGAACACCGGUGGCGAAGGCGGGUCUCUGGGCCAUUACUGACGCUGAGGAGCGAAAGCGUGGGGAGCGAACAGGAUUAGAUACCCUGGUAGUCCACGCUGUAAACGUUGGGCGCUAGGUGUGGGGACUGUUUCCACGGUCUCCGUGCCGGAGCUAACGCAUUAAGCGCCCCGCCUGGGGAGUACGGCCGCAAGGCUAAAACUCAAAGGAAUUGACGGGGGCCGCACAAGCGGCGGAGCAUGCGGCUUAAUUCGAUGCAACGCGAAGAACCUUACCAGGGCUUGACAUGCACGGUGCGACCGUAGAGAUACGGUGUCCUUUGGGGGUCUGCACAGGUGGUGCAUGGUUGUCGUCAGCUCGUGUCGUGAGAUGUUGGUU